GAAAUGCGAUAAGUAAUGUGAAUUGCAGAAUUCAGUGAAUCAUCGAAUCUUUGAACGCACAUUGCGCCCGCCAGUAUUCUGGCGGGCAUGCCUGUUCGAGCGUCAUUUCAACCAUCAAGCCCCCGGCUUGUGUUGGGGACCUGCGGCUGCCCGCAGGCCCUGAAAAACAGUGGCGGGCUCGCUGUCACACCGAGCGUAGUAGCAUACAUUCUCGCUCAGGGCGUGCUGCGGGUUCCGGCCGUUAAACGACGUUCAUAACCCAAGGUUGACCUCGGAUCAGGUAGGAAGACCCGCUGAACUUAAGC
rnacentral:misc_RNA from 1 species